GAACGAGAAAGUGGAGCAAUCCAUGAGUACAGUGGCGACCGGGUGAGUAACACGUGACCAACCUACCCUCGAGUGGGGAAUAACUCCGGGAAACCGGAGCUAAUACCGCAUAACAUCGCAAGAUCAAAGCCGCAAGGCGCUUGAGGAGGGGGUCGCGGCUGAUUAGCUAGUUGGUAGGGUAAUGGCCUACCAAGGCGAAGAUCGGUAGCCGGCCUGAGAGGGCGCACGGCCACACUGGAACUGAAACACGGUCCAGACUCCUACGGGAGGCAGCAGUGGGGAAUUUUGCGCAAUGGGGGAAACCCUGACGCAGCAACGCCGCGUGGAGGAUGAAGUCCCUUGGGACGUAAACUCCUUUCGACCAAGACGAUAAUGACGGUACUGGUGGAAGAAGCACCGGCUAACUCUGUG
rnacentral:rRNA from 1 species